CAGAGGUGGCAAGCGUUGUUCGGAAUUACUGGGCGUAAAGGGCGCGUAGGCGGCCCUCUUAGUCGGACGUGAAAUCCCCAGGCUUAACUUGGGAACUGCGUCCGAUACUGGAGGGCUCGAGUGCGGGAGAGGGAUGUGGAAUUCCAGGUGUAGCGGUGAAAUGCGUAGAUAUCUGGAGGAACACCGGUGGCGAAGGCGGCAUCCUGGACCGACACUGACGCUGAUGCGCGAAAGCUAGGGGAGCAAACGGGAUUAGAUACCCCGGUAGUCCUAGCCCUAAACGAUGAGUGCUUGGUGUGGCGGGUAUCGAUCCCUGCCGUGCCGAAGCUAACGCAUUAAGCACUCCGCCUGGGGAGUACGGGUCGCAAGGCUG
rnacentral:rRNA from 1 species